rnacentral:rRNA from 1 species
GACGAACGCUGGCGGCGUGCUUAACACAUGCCAGUCGAACGGUGAAGCUCCAGCUUGCUGGAGUGGAUCAGUGGCGAACGGGUGAGUAACACGUGAGCAACCUGCCCCUGACUCUGGAAUAAGCGCUGGAAACGGCGUCUAAUACUGGAUACGAGAAGGGUCCGCAUGGGCACUUUCUGGAAAGUUUUUCGGUUGGGGAUGGGCUCGCGGCCUAUCAGCUUGUUGGUGAGGUAAUGGCUCACCAAGGCGACGACGGGUAGCCGGCCUGAGAGGGCGACCGGCCACACGGGGACUGAGACACGGCCCAGACUCCUACGGGAGGCAGCAGUGGAGAAUAUUGCACAAUGGGCGAAAGCCUGAUGCAGCGACGCCGCGUGAGGGAUGACGGCCUUCGGGUUGUAAACCUCUUUCAGCAGGGAAGAAGCGAAAGUGACGGUACCUGCAGAAGAAGCACCGGCUAACUACGUG